UUAAUUGAAGAGUUUGAUCAUGGCUCAGAUUGAACGCUGGCGGCAGGCCUAACACAUGCAAGUCGAGCGGCAGCACAGAGGAACUUGUUCCUUGGGUGGCGAGCGGCGGACGGGUGAGUAAUGCCUGGGAAAUUGCCC
rnacentral:rRNA from 1 species